CCUACGGGUGGCAGCAGUGAGGAAUAUUGGUCAAUGGGCGGGAGCCUGAACCAGCCAAGUCGCGUGAGGGAAGACGGUCCUAUGGAUUGUAAACCUCUUUAGCCGGGGAGCAAUGCCGGGCACGCGUGCCCGGAUGUAUAGUACCCGCAGAAUAAGCCUCGGCAAACUCCGUGCCAGCAGCCGCGGUAAUACGGAGGAGGCGAGCGUUCUCCGGUUUUAUUGGGUUAAAAGGGUGCGUAGGCGGAUUUUUAAGUCAGCGGUAAAAUGUCCGGGCUCAACCCGGGCCGGCCGUUGAAACUGGGGAUCUUGAGUGGGCGAGAGGUAUGCGGAAUGCGUGGUGUAGCGGUGAAAUGCAUAGAGAUCACGCAGAACUCCGAUUGCGAAGGCAGCAUACCGGCGCCCGACUGACGCUGAGGCACGAAAGCGUGGGGAUCGAACAGGAUUAGAUACCCGAGUAGUC
rnacentral:rRNA from 1 species